ACAUGCUUAAUAUUGCACAAAUAGAUGUUACUGCCAGCUUGUAUCACAAAAUGGAUGUAAACAAAAUCAUCUAUCCAACUCAGAUUUAGUUAACACAAAUCAUCUAUCAAACUCAAAUUUAUUUAACACAAAUCAUCUAUCAAAUUCGAAUUUAACUAACAUUUAGGAAACCUGGAAUGAAAUUACACUACUAACCAUAAUCACAUAACGAAUUUAACAGUCCAAACAAUCCCGUAGUCUUUUACAAUGAGUAUUAAAAUGAAACAAAAACUAUUUAAAAAUUAAAUGACAGCUUUUGGAAGAUAGUGGAGUGCAACAACUUCGUUUCAUCUCAUAAUGGCGUGUACAUGGAUGAGCUUUAAGAAAUGUACCUGGAAAUCACAAUGCAAUGGGAAAAGAGGGAAGUCGGCAGAUUCAACCACAACAAUCAACAAAUAAGAUAGCUUAUAACCCAAACGUAUACCCCAAAGACCAAUAUAACCCAAGUGACUUCAGAUUUUCAACUUUCAAACCCGAGGAAAGCAAUGCAACAAUGAAAACAAUGAGAUUCCAAACAGGCUAGGACUACAACUUCAAAACCAAAUUUCUAAGAGCCAAACUCGACUAUUUCCAUACUAAUUAAGGCAAAAAUGGUCUCAAAACAUGAUAUGACCAAAGGCUACUAAAAAUGAGCAAUGGCACAGUAAAAUUGCUGGUGUUUCAGGGAUUUUAGCUUCAGAAUUUUGAGAGGGUUAUAGAGAUAUUUUUUCAGAUUUUCCAACCCCUUUUUUGAGUGAUUUUAACCCCUUUAUAUAGCCAAGACUAGGCAUCAUUUUUAUUGUGUUUUACCCUUAAGUCCCUCUUUAAUUUUCAGAUAUUACUUAUUUGAACCUUCAUUUCAUGACUUCUUUCCCAAGUUACUGCAGUAAUACUAUUGAUUUUGUAUUAAAGACCCCUUCUAUAAGUGCCUAAGGACUUCUACCAUUUUCUAUCCUUUAUAUGCUACCCAUAUUACCCGUGUUUGUUCCCAAUAUUACCACAAACAACUUGAAAAGUCCAUAUUACCUCUAAUAGUCUUAAAUUUAUCAGAAAUGAUGGUAUAAAUCAUGUACAACCUUUCAAUUAUCUAUUUGGUGUCAAAAUUACCUCAUAAGACUAAUUUCCUAAUCCUAACUGCUAUAACCAAUGCAAAUGACACUACUCAAAGACAAACAAUCCAAAUUCAGCAAUCAAAUUAGAAACUUAAACCCAAUAUAGGGGAAAUUCAAAACUUGGCAAUUGGUUCUUCAAAACAUGUGAGUCAUUAGUUGACAUUGUGAACUUAAAUAAUCAGGAGAUCACUAAUGAACAAUUAUCAGAACAGUCCAGACCUUUUUCUACUUGCACGAGUUUAAAACAACAUUCAAUUUCAGAGGAGAACAGUCCAGACCUUUUUCUACUUGAACGAAUUUAAAACAACAUUCAAUUUCAGAGGAGAACAGUCCAGACCUUUUUCUACUUGCACGAAUUUAAAACGGCAUUCAAUUUCAGAGGUCAAGCAUGGUAUUACUGGAAUCAAGGGAACUAUAGAGGUUAAACAAGACCUAUCACUCAAUUAACAAUUAUUCAGCAAUCAAAUGGCAAGUUUGAGAUUUGUUAAAACCAAUUAAUUUUACCUUAACAUGGAAUAAACUACUAGCAGAAAAACAAAAUAAUAAAAAAACGAAAGAGGAAAAAACGGACUCACUGAUUCCAAAAUAAUUUGGUUAUUCUAACAUCAUUCAUGAAUUAAGCAAACCAUUCAAAAUUUGAACUAACAGCCCUAAUUGCUCAAAACAGCAGAAAAUCACAAGCAUAAGGAAAACACAACUAAAACUAAAAAGAGAUGGUGGACUUAUCGGAUUUCUUCAAUAUAUCACUGUCGGAGUCAAUUCAAACCCUCGAGUGACUUCCAAUCUUGAACUUCAAACUUCAACUGGUUGGUGCCGACACCGGAGGAGUUCUGGGACCAUUUGAGUGGGUUUCGGUAGGCUUUUGGGAGGAUGAGGGCUAGAAGAGGGUGGGAGUGGUGUUUGAAGGGUAUUGGACGGCAGCCACCGCCGUGCAUGGCAGAGCUGCCAUCUUCAGACAUAUAUUUGACGAGAUUCAGACGUGUUCGAGAGUAACCAAUGGCAAGGAUAGGGCAAGGAGGGUGAGAAGGUCCACUGGGGUUGAUUUGGAGGUUGUUUUCCACCGGCCGCCGUUGUAGACAACAGAGCUGCCAUGUUAAAAAUGGAGAUUCAAGAAGUUCAGCAGUGACUCGAGGGGUGAUCUCUAUAGGAUUGGGAAGAGGUAAGUGAGGGGGUUCUAGGGAGUAAAUCUAGGAGGCAUUGGUGUUACGCCGCCGACAGCGGCGAUUUCCGGCCGGCGGCGGAUGGUGGUAUUAGGUGGUUUGGAGGUUGUUGGUAUAUUUGUACGAGGAAGACAUGUUAUGUCUCUACAGCCAUUACACCGUGUUUGGACAGUUUUAUUUCAAAGGCAAGGCUCCACGUGAGCCGUUGGAUGAUGAACGGUCAGGAUUAAAUGAUGUUAAACGGCGUCGUUUGGGUACGGGGUUGGUUGGACCGGGUUGAGGAGCGGGUGGGCUAGAGACUGG
rnacentral:lncRNA from 1 species